rnacentral:rRNA from 1 species
UACGUAGGCAGCAAGCGUUGUUCGGAAUUACUGGGCGUAAAAAGUGUGUAGGCGGUGCUCUAAGUUUGGUGUGAAAUCUCCCGGCUUAACUGGGAGGGUGCGCCGAAAACUGGAAUGCUUGAACAUGGGAGAGGAAAGCGGAAUUCCUGGUGUAGCGGUGAAAUGCGUAGAUAUCAGGAGGAACACCUGCGGUGUAGACGGCUUUCUGGACCAUUGUUGACGCUGAGACACGAAAGCGUGGGUAGCAAACAGG